rnacentral:rRNA from 1 species
CCUACGGGGCGCAGCAGUGAGGAAUAUUGGUCAAUGGACGAGAGUCUGAACCAGCCAAGUAGCGUGAAGGAUGACUGCCCUAUGGGUUGUAAACUUCUUUUAUAUGGGAAUAAAAUGUUCCACGUGUGGGAUUUUGUAUGUACCAUAUGCAUAAGGAUCGGCUAACUCCGUGCCAGCAGCCGCGGUAAUACGGAGGAUCCGAGCGUUAUCCGGAUUUAUUGGGUUUAAAGGGAGCGUAGGUGGAUUGUUAAGUCAGUUGUGAAAGUUUGCGGCUCAACCGUAAAAUUGCAGUUGAAACUGGCAGUCUUGAGUACAGUAGAGGUGGGCGGAAGUCGUGGUGUAGCGGUGAAAUGCUUAGAUAUCACGAAGAACUCCGAUUGCGAAGGCAGUUCACUGGACUGCAACUGACACUGAGGCUCGAAAGUGUGGGUAUCAAACAGGAUUAGAUACCCCAGUAGUC